rnacentral:pre_miRNA from 1 species
AAAAGGACAAACCCUGGGUUUCCGUGUUCAAUUUUGAUUAUCCGUCUUAUAUGAAAUUUUUUAUAAUUCGUAUUUUUAUUGUUGUUAGAUGAUAAAACAUGAUUAAUAUUUUAUGCGUGACUUGUCUUUUUAAUUUUUUUCAUAAUUUUUUCAAAUAAGACGGACGGUCAAAUGUUAUACACGAAAACUAAAG